rnacentral:rRNA from 1 species
ACUCAAAUGAAUUGACGGGGACCCGCACAAGCGGUGGAGCAUGUUGUUUAAUUCGACGCAACGCGAAGAACCUUACCUACGCUUGACAUACCAAGUUUGAUUGUCAGAGAUGACUUUCUUCAGUUCGGCUGGCUUGGAUACAGGUGCUGCAUGGCUGUCGUCAGCUCGUGUCGUGAGAUGUUGGGUUAAGUCCCGCAACGAGCGCAACCCUUAUUGUUAGUUGCCAUCAUUUAGUUGGGCACUCUAGUGAGACUGCCGGUGAUAAGCCGGAGGAAGGUGGGGACGACGUCAAGUCAUCAUGGCCCUUACGCGUAGGGCUACAAACGUGCUACAAUGGCUGUGACAGUGGGCAGCGAGGCAGCGAUGCCAAGCAAAUCCCAAAAAGCAGUCUCAGUUCGGAUUGCACUCUGCAACUCGAGUGCAUGAAGUUGGAAUCGCUAGUAAUCGUGGAUCAGCAUGCCACGGUGAAUACGUUCCCGGGUCUUGUACACACCGCCCGU